GUAUGAAUACGUUCUGGAUCAUGGUAGGGGUCGUAUUGACGAUUUUGACAACAGGCUUCUUAACAAUCUCACUGACAAUCAGGUCUAAACAGAAGGAAUCUGGUUCUCGGGAUAUCCAAAUACACAUUGAGAGUCCUCCAAAUGAUGACAGAUAUUUGGACUUAGCAAUAGAUCUACAAGAUGAAGUACAUUCAUAUGACACUACUGGUCGCCCCUACGAAGAUCCUGUGCCAUACCUACAAACGAGGGUUUACAAUUACACAUCGCCGGAUUACCUCGAUGUUCAACCAGAUUUAGACGAUAGUAGCACUAACAGUGAUCAGUAUGAAAAAGUGGAUUAAUACGAAGAAAAGGAAUGUUUAGCGGUUUUGAAAA